UACAGAGGUCCCAAGCGUUGUUCGGAUUUACUGGGCGUAAAGGGUGCGUAGGUGGCGUGGUAAGUUUGAUGUGAAAGCUCAGGGCUUAACCCUGAAAUGGCAUUGAAUACUACUGUGCUGGAGGUUUGGAGGGGGGACUGGAAUUCUUGGUGUAGCAGUGAAAUGCGUAGAUAUCAAGAGGAACACCAGUGGCGAAGGCGAGUCCCUGGACAACACCUGACACUGAGGCACGAAAGCUAGGGGAGCAAACAGG
rnacentral:rRNA from 1 species